AUCUGUUGGAGCUGGUCAGUAUGUUUAUGUAAUCGUGUCAAACACGACUUUAAAGAAUAAAAAUGUGCACGUAGUAAAACUGCAUAAACCUAAUGUUAAGUUGAAGUGUACUCUUAGAUAGCUAACAUUAGCUGGCUGGCUCGCUAGCUGAUGUAAUGUGUAUGCUCUCCACUUUCUGGAGGACUGAGUUUUGAAAUCAGUGGAAUUUGAGUAUGAUAGCUAAGGAGAUGGAGAAAACAACAGUCUGGAUAACAUCGUCAAACUAAGGCAACCAUGCAUGGCAUCAGACAGGAGACGCGUCCAACCUAUUCUGCAAAUGACGGGGAUUUGUGCCUGGUCCCGUUUUAGAAAGCAAUAUAUCAUUCGUGUUGGACUCAUCAGACUCAUUAAAGAAAAAAGCUUCUUCUAGUUUGAGGACCUGAGCCCUAGGACCAUGCCCCAGGACUACCUGACAUGAUGACUCCUUGCUGUCCCCAGUCCACCUGGGCGUGCUGCUGCUCUAGUUUCAACUGUUCUGCCUUAUUAUUAUUCGACCAUGCUGGUCAUUUAUGAACAUUUGAACAUCUUGGCCAUGUUCUGUUAAAAUCUCCACCCGGCACAGCCAGAAGAGGACUGGCCACCCCACAUAUGCUCUCUCUAAUUCUCUCUUUCUUUCUCUCUCUCGGAGGACCUGAGCCCUAGGACCAUGCCCCAGGACUACCUGACAUGAUGACUCCUUGCUGUCCCCAGUCCAUCUGACUGUGCUGCUGCUCCAGUUUCAACUGUUCUGCCGUAUUAUUAUACGACCAUGCUGGUCAUUUAUGAACAUUUGAACAUCUUGGCCAUGUUCUGUUAUAAUCUCCACCCGGCACAGCCAGAAGAGGACUGGCCACCCCACAUAGCCUGGUUCCUCUCUAGGUUUCUUCCUAGGUUAUGGACUUUCUAGGGAGUUUUUCCUAGCCACCGUGCUUCUACACCUGCAUUGCUUGCUGUUUGGGGUUUUAGGCUGGGUUUCUGUACAGCACUUUGAGAUAUCAGCUGAUGUACGAAGGGCUAUAUAAAUAAAUUUGAUUUGAUAUCAUAUUUCUUACGCUCGACAAAAAUGAAAUACGUUUGUAUUCAAAGUGUGCUUUGCACAAAAGUGUGUGUUUGUAUCCAGUGAGUGACUGUCGAACCUCAGGUGGACAAAAAAAACACUGGUGGGCGCGGUCAAACGUGGGCAUUUGCCGGGUCAAACAUUUGACUCCGCCCACAUUGAGCCCUGCCCCAAACUGCACACUGCAGUUAGGAAUACGUGGAUUGGUUGGCAAGACAUAGUUUUGGAACUGAAAGCAUUGUGAAAAAAUAAUAAAGUUAUGUAUAAAACGGUUCCACGGUCUUGUGAUAUAAUGCAUUGAGAGUAAAGAUCAAC
ensembl:lncRNA